UUUAGUAGCUAAAGAAGAUUCAAAUUAGACAGUUUCUUUCUGGCUGAAAUCUAUCAAAAAUAGAAUAAUGAAAUCCUUGGCCAUUUUAGCUGUAAUAUGUGUCCUGUUUGGCCUUGUUUUAGGAUUAAAAGAUCCUAUCUGUGGACAAGUUCCUGCUGCCAAUGGCUUUUAACUUCGGCGUUGCUUUGGCCGUAUUAUUUAUUAUUCCUACUAUCCGAUGAGCAACGAAUGUUUGGCCUUCAAUUAUGGCGGUUGUGGUGGAAACAUGAAUAAGUUUCCUUCGAAAGAGAGCUGUGAGGAGGCAUGUAUGGAAAAAUAAAUUUUUUUUAAAUAAAAUAAAACGCAAAAUUUCCUAACAUCUUUAAA